rnacentral:rRNA from 1 species
CGCACGGGUGAGUAACACGUAUGCAACCUGCCUGCCACAGCCGGAUAAUCGGGAGAAAUUCCGUCUAAUACGGCAUAAUGCAUCGACGGGACAUCCUGUUGGUGCCAAAGGUUGAUUCCGGUGGCGGAUGGGCAUGCGUCGCAUUAGUUAGUUGGCGGUGUAACGGACCACCAAGACGACGAUGCGUGGGGGUUCUGAGAGGAAGGUCCCCCACACUGGUACUGAGACACGGACCAGACUCCUACGGAAGGCAGCAG